UGUCUCUCAGGGAGGUAGAUUAUCUAUGCUGAUGGGAGAAUCCUUCCCUUAAGCAUAGGUAGUGUCUACACAGCAGCACUAAAUUGGUACAGUUUUAGUAGUGCUGCUGUAGUGUUUCAAGUGUAGACAACUCUAAGUCUUGGAUCCUAACUUUGUUAAUUUAAUUUCCUAAAAGUUAACCAGCUGACUUUUUAAACCACUGACCAGCACAUCACCUCAUAGUCAGUGUGCUGCCUGUGGAAGUUGAGGUGGUUUGUGUGGCAAUGUCUAAGUUAAUAGGGGAUUCAAACAGGAAAAUGGUAGUCCAGGAUGAGAAGUCUCUUGGAGAAACUGAAAAUAGGUACUGCCUCAGGUCUGGAAGUAUGCUCUUAUCCCUAGCUCCUAACCAAUGGCCAGAUGAUACUGGGUGGAUGAUGAGUGAUAAACAGACUGCACUUUUCAUGGGACUCCCUUUAACCAUUUUUGUAGAAUGGAUGGAAGGCAGACAAGGAACUGGAUUCAGGUUCACCUUCAGCCAGAGACCAUCAUCAGCCAGGCACACGGCCAAGCUCAGCGAUUAAGACACAGGCAAGAUCAAAGCCUGUAUUCUAGUACAGAAACCACCACUGAUCUUGGAAUCUGAAAGACACAACACACUGAAAUCUACAAGCCUCAGCAAGAUGGACAGAGUAAACUACACAUACAUUCUGUGUAUUUCAUCUUCAUAUUUUUGUUACCUACCU